UCCUCCUUCUCCUGCCGCCGCCAGGUGAGACCUCUCCAGGCAAUAGCCGUCGCCAUGGCCAGAGGAGCGCAAGCUCGUCCCCGGCUUGUACGCCUCUGUCCCCUGCGUUGCUGCCACGGGGAGAGAGUCGCGGCACUGAACGUCGUCUCCUUCGUCCACGCACGCGUCCACGAGCCUCGGAUCGACCUCCCCGACGACCUCUGCUUCCCCUGCUUCCUCUGCUUUACGGACGCCAAGUCGGAGGCCUCUUCUCGUCGCCGACCUCUCCUUCUUCUUCCUCGGGUCUACCUUGCCGCUGGCUAAAUUCGUCGCGUCCCCGAGCUUGUUCGACUCCUCCGAGCCCCUCUACGUGAGCAGCCGCGCUUCCCUGUACCUUUUUCUCGUUGGUUGCCUCCUCUGUCGCCGGUUGCUAUGCUUCCUCUAGUUCUUCAGCCGCAUGCAGCGCCUCGUCUGCAACUCGCACGCAUGCACCAGGGCAUGCCCAGCUUCUUGUUCACCGUAGGUCUCUGCCCCGAGUCGAGCUCCUGCUCGUGCCCGAGCGCACGCACGCACACGACUCCUGCAAGAAGCUGCCGCUCACUCGCACACAGCCUCGUCGGUUUCUGCACCCCCGCCGGUGAUCUGCUGCACCUGCAGCCGCUGCUUGCUCCCGUCGCCGGCAAGCAUCACCGGGCAUCCAUGGCCGUAGUUGUGGCCAUGCAACGCAAGAGUUCCUACCCUCGUCCAACCGAGCCAACACCCGCACGCGGCUCUGGUCGCCUUCUUCUCCAUGUCAGGGACGAGCUGUAGCUCGUGCUCAAACGCCUGCGCACACGCCACGCCCUUGCAUCCUCACACGCACUCCCCGCAAGCGUCUGCCUUGCCGUGCCUCGCUGCCGCGGCCGAGAGGAGCUCCUGCCUGAGCUUGUUCUCGAGCCCUUGCUCAUGCCGUUGCUCCGCCGCUCGCGCAACCACACCCGCGUAGGUUUCCGCACGCCCGCUGCUGUCCUGUAGCGUCGAUGCCCGCUGCUUUGCUCGCUUGCGUCGCCGGCGAGCAUCACCGGGAGCCAUGGCUCCAAAAGCUCGACCUUCUGUAGUUGGCUCAAGUACGAUGUCGUCCUCAAUUCUUUCAUGAAGACAGGCACAGCCGGGUUGGCUAGCACAGCUGGCAUUCACACAAGAGGUCCUGGGUUCAAUUCCUAGCCACCCAAGUUUUUUGCCCAUUCUUCAUUUUAUUUUUGCACACAGCCAUUUGGGCCAGAUCUGCUACCGGGCUUGCACAGUGCGUUGAAUCCGGCCCGUGUAUGUUUUUUUCCUUCUGUUCUCUGUGAUUUAACGUUAUAUUGCAUUGCAUAAUUACAGAAAUGACAUUAUCUUGCAUUGCUCAUAUAUAAAUAACCAUGCAUCGGUUUGCAACAAACUUCAUAUGUAAAAUGCUUAGAAUUUCAUCUACUUUCAUAAUAUGCAUCUUUCAUCCUUGUUUAAUAUGUUUAACUUGCUGUUUGCAUUAAUUUGCAUAAAUAAGAUGCUAAAAUGGUUUAUUUCAUAACUAAAUAACCGUAGCUCCAAUUUUAAUAAACUUUAUAUGUAAAUGGGGUGGGAAAAUGCCUAGUUUAACAUGGUGGACUUUAUUUUCCUGUUUAACAACAUUAUAAUAUGGUUUAGGGCAGAACAGUACCAAAUUCAUAAUAUGCAUAUGGGGAUUUUUCCGGAAUGGUUGUUUGUGAUUCCGGCCUCAUUUAAACUUGCCUAAAUACGUAGUAUUAUUAUUUUACACCUCUUGCCAUGUUUAACAACAUGUAAUAUUGUUGUGUUCCUAAACGAGAGAGAACUAAAUAAUUGAUGUGGUGUUUCGUCAAUAUGCAACUCGUUGCAUAUUGAGCUCCACUUAAUUUGUAGUGUUGUUUGUUGCACUUUGCCAUGCCAUGCCUCAUUAAAUCGGACAUGCAUCAUACUUGAUUGUGCAUCAUGCCAUGAUUAUUCUUGGUUUUUUACCAUGUUGUUUGCUUCUUUCCGGUGUUGCUUCUUCUUGAUAGUUCCAGUUACGUUGCGAUUGUGAGGAUCCGUUCGACUACGUCCGUUUGUCUUCUUCAUGGACUCGUUCUUCUUCCUUGCGGGAUUUCAGGCAAGAUGACCGCUACCCUGGAUCUCACUACUAUCAUUGCUAUGCUAGUUGCUUUGUUCUAUCGCUAUGCUGCGUUGCCUAUCAUUUGCUCUUCAAGCCUCCCAAAUUGCCAUGAACCUCUAACCUUUGACACCCUUCCUAGCAAACCGUUGUUUGGCUAUGUUACCGCUUUGCUCAGCCCCUCUUAUAGCGUUGUUAGUUGAAGGUGAAGUUGAAGAUUGCUCCAUGGUGGACAGGGUUAUGUUGGGAUAUCACAAUAUCUCUUAUUUAAUUAAUGCAUCUAUAUACUUGGUAAAGGGUGGAAGGCUCAGCCUUAUGCCUGGUGUUUUGUUCCACUCUUGCCGCCCUAGUUUCCGUCAUACCGGUGUUAUGUUCCCGGAUUUUGCGUUCCUAACGCGGUCGGGUGAUUUAUGGGACCCCUCGACAGUUCGCUUUGAAUAAAACUCCUCCAGCAAGGCCCAACCUUGGUUUUACCAUUUGCCUCACCACCACCUACUUUUCCCUUGGGAGUCGCUCUCUCGAGGGUCAUCUUUAUUUAGCCCCCCCGGGCCAAUGCUUGUCUAAGUGUUGGUCCGAACUAGAGUCCUUUGCAGCGCCCCCUCAGGGAAACUUGAGGUCUGGUUUUAGUUGUACGGAGUGCUCAUCCGGUGUUGCCCUGAGAACGAGCUAUGUGCAGCUCCUAUCGGGAUGUCGGCGCAUCGGGCGGUCUUGCUGGUCUUGUUUUACCAUUGUCGAAAUGUCUUGUAAACCGAGAUUCCGAGACUGAUCGGGACUUCCUGGGAGAAGGAAUAUCCUUCGUUGAUCGCGAGAGCUUAUCAUGCGCUAAGUUGGGACACCCCUGCAGGGUAUAAACUUUCGAGAGCCGUGCCCGCGGUUAUGUGGCAGAUGGGAAUUUGUUAAUGUCCGGUUGUAGAUAACUUGACACCAGAUCCGAAUUAAAACGCAUCGACCGCGUGUGUAGCCGUGAUGGUCUCUUCUCGGCGGAGUCCGGGAAGUGAAGACGGUUUUGGGUUAUGUUUGACGUAAGUAGGAGUUCAGGAUCACCUCUUGAUCAUUGCUAGCUUCACGACUGUUCCUUUGUUUCUCUUCUCGCUCUCAUUUGCGUAUGUUAGCCACCAUAUUAUGCUUAGCCGCUACUGCAACCUCACCACUUUACCCCUUCCUUUCCCUUUAAGCUUUGCUAGUCUUGAUACCCAUGGUAAUGGGAUUGCUGAGUCCUCGUGGCUCACAGAUUACUACAACAACAGUUGCAGGUACAGGUUAUGCGAUGAUCAUGACGCGAGAGCGAUGUUUACUUGUUUUGGAGUUCUUCUUCUGCUGCUUCUUCGAUCAGGGGAUAGGUUCCAGGUCGGCAGCCUGGGCUAGCAGGGUGGAUGUCGUUUGAGCUUCUGUUUGUGUUUCAUCCGUAGUCGGAUGUUGAUCUCUUGUAAGAUGAUGUUAUAUUCGUGUGGUAUUGUAUGCCUUUUGUAUGUAUCCCCAUCUAUUAUGUAAUGUUGAUGUAAUGAUAUCCACCUUGCAAAAGCGUCUUCAAGAUGCGCUUCUAUCCUUGGUGGGACCUUCGAGUUCCUUUAGGAUAGGGUCGCAUCUUGGGCGUGACAAGUUGGUAUCAGAGCCUCAACCGACCAUAGGAGCCCCCAUGAUUGUUGGCCGUUGAGUCUAGAAAAAAAACUAUGUUGAGUCUUAGGAUUAUAUAUAUCGGAGAGUAUGAUUCUUUUUACUCCUCAGCCCCCUUCGUCGCUCUGGUGAGGACUCCUGACGUAGAUGUUUUGUCUUUCCUCUCCUCAAAUUUCACUAAAAAAAUUUUAGGAUCACGCGGGUAUCUUGGGAUUGUUCCGAUAUUCUUAUGACGAAAACAUUGUUCUUGGUGCCUCCUGACAUUUAGGGGUUGUGGCAGUGUCCCGGGGAGUUGAGCUCUGAGGUGUUGUCGUCAUAAUUUUAUCGUUGCAGUUCUGGAAUACUUGAGUUUUGCCGACAUUGAAAAUCUCUUUUAUGCAGUUGUUGGUGAGAUAACCUCGACGCCACCCAGUACUGGGGAGUUCGGGAGUAUUACCAUAGCUUGUAUAACGGAUGCUUUUCGAAGGUUGAGGUACACGAUUUCCGGAGUUUUCUUGGUUAUGUGUUGACGGAUGGAUACAGCUGGAUGUAGGGAUUGUUAGUUUGGGUGAGAUAUAUUGCUUCCCCUGUAUCCCCAACACCAGAUUGCAUAACCAGAAAUUUCGGUAGUUUUAUAGGUGGGAAUUCAAGUAGCUCCUAGAAUAUCUUUCUGACAGAUGCAUGAUGUGGGAUUGGGUAAAUCUCUAUCAUAUGUAUUUGUUCCGGCUUAUUCUGCAAGCCAAAUCCUUUGUUUUGUUUUAUUUGUGGUAUUCGAGUUGCUUCGAAGUCAAAUGUUGAAUUCAUACCUUUCCUAAACGGUGUUCUCAUAUUGCUAUGUGAAUACUAAUCCUUUUUGAUCAUUGAGGUUGUCAUGUUAAUUCUUUUUCAACCGGUGCGCUUCUCUUCGAGAUGAUCCCAUCAUUCUCCCCAUCCGCAAGAUCAAUUCUAAGUUUUCUCAACGGUGUUUGUUUCGUUCAUCCCAAGUUGUCUUUGUUUUCCCCCACCCUCCCAUCCUUUUUCUUCAAGGACUCAGAUUUCUUAAUCAAGUAUCCAUUUAUUCAUGUGAAGUCACUUCACUCUGUUCAAUCAAUGUUCUUAUGCGGUGAUUUCCCAUGAAGAUGCUCAACAGUUUCAAGUUCAUCAUCCUUCAUUGUUAUUUCUUCUCCGGUGGAUCCAAUUCAAGCUUUCGAUAUUCAUCAUAUUCCUUUCCGCGUUUCUAAUGCUUUAUCGUGCCGAUGCACACCUUAAUCAUUCACUUAUUCCUAUUCAUUUGUUCUGGAGUGCUGAAGAUAUCUCACAAGAUUCGUGUUUCCAUUCUCAAUCCGUUCAAGUUAUUUUGAGGCUCUUAUCUCAUUCAAGCCAUUUAAUUCAACCGGUGCAAUAUCUCUUUAAAUCAUUUCAACGGUGUUUCUCUUGAGUGGGCCCUAACCCACAGGUGUUUUUCCAAGAUCUUACCUGACUCUUCUAACUUUUCCGGAGCUAUUCCCAAAUUCUUUUCGAAGUUUGACGUAAGAAUGAAUUAUCAUCAGUCAUAUUCCUUCUCCAAGAUCGCUUUCAAAUUCUUUUCAUCAUAUGUUCAACCUUUCCUCUUUUAAUUCUCCCGGAGUAUCUCAACAAUUCAUGGUGGUUCUCAUCAUCAUUCUCAACAUUUGAAGACCGAAGAAGGAUUUCUCUUAAAUUUUGGUCCAUUCUCUUGAUUAUUCAUGGUUCUAGCUUCAUGCUAUCCUCAUAAUUGUUUUUGAUUGUGACUAUUCUUUUCACCCAUCCGGAGCAUUUCAUGAGUUGUUUCCAUUUCUUUCCUCCGAAGGCCAUCAUGUCAUAAUUCUUCAUUCUCAGUGUGUAGCUAUCGUUCUCCAAAUCUUAACAGUGCAUCGUUCAAAUAUCCUCUAAUCAGUUCAUGAUCUCUUCGUUCUCAUGUAUCUAAAUCUCUCAAGUAUCCUCGUUCGUUUUCUAAUUCUUCUCGGUGUUUCUUUAUCUUUUCUUCGUUCAUUUUCAAUUCUUACGGUGAUUCGUUCAAGAUUUCACUUCCUUCGUUGUCAUAUCAAAUAUUCGUUGGUUCCAAUCCCACCGGUGGUUCCAUCAAUACCUUCUCAAGUUUGCGCUAUAUCUCUUUUAAUCCUUUCUACAGGAAUAAGUAGUAUGCCAAAUACAUUGCUUGUCAUCAAUUUAAUUUGAUGAAGAAUAAGCAUACAAUAAAUCCUAUUCUUAUUUCCGCGAGGUGAUUCAAUUCUUUUCUUCCAGAGAUUGUUCAUGAUGAAGUAAUUCUCCGUUCUAGUGUUUCAUCUUUUCCUUUUCCGGAGUUCCAAGUUUUCUCGAUUAUAUCGUCGCGAUGCUCCAUCUAAUUCAUUGCAAGGCUUCACCUUGUGUUUUCAGGUUCUCUUUCUUUUUAUCAUCCUUUUAUUACCGCAGUUCUUCAUGGAGGCUCUACAUGGUGGUUUGUCAAGGAUUCUUUCAUUCUUCAAUUGUUCCUCAAGUGUUCUCUCAAAGCUAUGACCCGCCAAGCUAUACUCUAAAAUAAACAUGGUGCUCAACACAUGUUUUUGUUUUGAGGAGCUCAAGUAUUCUUCAUCUUGCAUUCCAAAGUGCAAUUCUUUCUACCUUAUCUUUUGAGGUGGUGUUAUAUCAUUAUUGACAAUUUCCAUUCAUGUUUCAUGAGUCACAUGUUGUCAAGAAUGAGGUACUCUAAAUCCAUUAAUCCCUCCAUUGGAGUUAUCUUGGUAAAGAUUUCACCUAAAGCCUUCCCUAAGGAAUAUUGCUAAUUAUGGUGCUAUCUAUGAUCCGAGUUUUUCUCCUAUCCUCUCGGCGAAGAAGUUUUUCAUCUCUUUGGUGCUCUCAAAUCAAAUCAACGGUUUCCAUUAGUGGCUGGUUGUCACCUCAUAGUCUUGAGAUGUUUUCCAUAAGCCCACAACAAGCUUGUGCUUCUCGUUGUUGAUUUUCCAACAACUCCGUUCGAUUCUUCUUUGCAAGGAUGCUUUCCAAGUUCACUUGUGGCAAAAGUUGUCAUUUUCUUCUCCGUCCCUUUAUCCCAACGGUCUAACUUCUAUUCUUUCGUUACAGAGGCAUUGUGAUGUUGUGCUCUUCACCCAUCACCUCGUUUGGUGAUGAUCGUCUUCUUUUCUUGCUUAUCCAUUUAACCGGAGUGUUGUAUCAUCUCUUCAAUAUCUUUUCAUCUCAUCAAGUUUUCUUUUCUUUUCUACUGGAGUGCUGUCUAAAUUCUGUCAUUCUUGUUCCUUGGCUAUCUCAUUAUACCGAGGUGGUCAUAUUCUUUUCGUUCGUGAAGCUCGUAUUUCCAUGUCUUUGCAAAAUUCAAGUUCUCGUAAUACUCCUUGUUCCUCUUUCCUAACGGAUUGUUUGUAAUCUCGUUCAUCUCUGUUGUACUCUUUCUUUUAAAUUGCUCAACCUCUCAAGGUUCGUGGUUUCACUCGUUCAUCAAAGAAGCAACUUAGUUAUACCUCUUCUCUUCCUCUUCCGGUUCUCUCCGGUGCCAUCCUAGAUCUCGGGCCGAGAUCCUCUCGUAGUGGUGGAGUGUUGUAACGCCCUAGAUACAACUUUCCAUAUUCGUAACUCCAACUCUUGCCUUUUCCGGUGAUGCGAUAUGAUAUUUCCUUCGCGGUUGUUUUUUUUGUAUAUUGUUUUGCAUAUUUCAUUCCUAUAUGUUUAUGCCAUGAUCAUGUUGAGUGCCUUGUCAUAUUUUGCUUCUUGCAUCAUGCUCAUUAUUAAUUAUAUUUUGCCAUCCUUGUUGUUGCCAUGAUCAUCUUGUUUUUCAUUGUUCUUUUAUUUGUUGCAUAUGCUAUGCUCAUCAUUGUUUGCAUUGCAUUGUGCCUUUUGUCAUUUUGCAUUUCAUCAUAAUCACCAUGUGCAUCGCAUUCUUCAUGAUGUUGUCUUGCUCUAUGCAUGUUGCAUGUGACCAAACCCCUUCUAUGUCUCUCAAAUCUACCCUUGCAUCAACACCUCCUUCUUCCUUCUUAUUCCUUUCAUUUUGCUAGUGCCAUUUUCUGUCCUCCAUAAAUGUUCAUUCUUUUCCUAUAAAUCCUGCUCAUUGCCUACACCCUCUCUGUCAGAUUUCAUCCCAUUUGAAGUUGUUUUGGUCAGGUUCAAAAAUGAUUGAAGUUUGAGAAUAAGUCAAACUCUAAUUAUUUUUCUGCCUUCUAAAAAUGCCAGAGCACUUUAUUCAAAUCCUACAUAAAUCUAGGGUUCCAAAUUCAUUCCUACUUAUUCUUAAUUCAUUACGUAAACCCCUGGCCUUUUCCUUGUCUAAACCUGGGAAUUCAAUUUUUCAGAAAAGAAAAGAAAAGGAAUCACCUUAUCCGAAGCCACCUGGGCCUUUUACCUCCAACCAGCCCACCUCACUUACCUCUUUCAGCCCAGCGAGGCCACCAAUGCCGAUCCCUCCUGUUCUUCUUCUAGCUUCUGUAUGGCAGCUCAUCCAGCAGGUCCACGUUGACGCUUGUGUUGAUUUGACGGCCGGAGCUGCUCCCUUCACCCUAUAAAUCAUGCCCCCAACCCUAGGGUUCCCUGGUCGCUCCAUUUUCCCCUCCUCCUUCUCCUGCCGCCGCCAGGUGAGACCUCUCCAGGCAAUAGCCGUCGCCAUAGCCGGAGGAGCGCAAGCUCGUCCCCGGCUUGUACGCCUCUGUCCCCUGCGUUGCUGCCACGGGGAGAGAGUCGCGGCACUCAACGUUGUCUCCUUUGUCCACGCACGCGUCCACGAGCCUCGGAUCAACCUCCCCGACGACCUCUGCUUCCCCUUCUUCCUCUGCUUCAUGGACACCAAGUCGGAGGCCUCUUCUCGUCGCCGACCUCUCCUUCUUCUUCCUCGGGUCUACCUCGCCGCUGGCUAAAUUCGUCGCGUCCCCGAGCUCGUUCGACUCCUCC
rnacentral:lncRNA from 1 species